rnacentral:rRNA from 1 species
CCUACGGGGGGCAGCAGUGAGGAAUAUUGGUCAAUGGACGAGAGUCUGAACCAGCCAAGUCGCGUGAGGGAUGACGGUCCUAUGGAUUGUAAACCUCUUUUGUCGGGGAGCAAGGCCCGCCACGUGUGGCGGGAAGGAGAGUACCCGAAGAAAAAGCAUCGGCUAACUCCGUGCCAGCAGCCGCGGUAAUACGGGGGAUGCGAGCGUUAGCCGGAUUUAUUGGGUUUAAAGGGUGCGUAGGCGGAAGGUUAAGUCAGCGGUAAAAUGUCGGUGCUCAACACCGGCCUGCCGUUGAAACUGGUCUUCUUGAGUGAGCGAGAAGUAUGCGGAAUGCGUGGUGUAGCGGUGAAAUGCAUAGAUAUAACGCAGAACUCCGAUUGCGAAGGCAGCAUACCGGCGCUCAACUGACGCUGAGGCACGAAAGCGUGGGGAUCGAACAGGAUUAGAUACCCCUGUAGUC